GGUUCUAUAGUGUAGUGGUUAUCACACAGGAUUCUGAUAUCUCAAGUUUCCUGUAACCCUGGUUUGAUUCCAGGUAGGACCU
rfam:Fomitiporia mediterranea MF3/22 unplaced genomic scaffold FOMMEscaffold_7, whole genome shotgun sequence.